GCAAGUCGAGCGGUAGCACAGAGAGCUUGCUCUCGGGUGACGAGCGGCGGACGGGUGAGUAAUGUCUGGGAAACUGCCUGAUGGAGGGGGAUAACUACUGGAAACGGUAGCUAAUACCGCAUAACGUCGCAAGACCAAAGUGGGGGACCUUCGGGCCUCAUGCCAUCAGAUGUGCCCAGAUGGGAUUAGCUAGUAGGUGGGGUAACGGCUCACCUAGGCGACGAUCCCUAGCUGGUCUGAGAGGAUGACCAGCCACACUGGAACUGAGACACGGUCCAGACUCCUACGGGAGGCAGCAGUGGGGAAUAUUGCACAAUGGGCGCAAGCCUGAUGCAGCCAUGCCGCGUGUGUGAAGAAGGCCUUCGGGUUGUAAAGCACUUUCAGCGGGGAGGAAGGCGGUGAGGUUAAUAACCUCAUCGAUUGACGUUACCCGCAGAAGAAGCACCGGCUAACUCCGUGCCAGCAGCCGCGGUAAUACGGAGGGUGCAAGCGUUAAUCGGAAUUACUGGGCGUAAAGCGCGCGCAGGCGGUCUGUCAAGUCGGAUGUGAAAUCCCCGGGCUCAACCUGGGAACUGCAUUCGAAACUGGCAGGCUAGAGUCUUGUAGAGGGGGGUACGAUUCCAGGUGUAGCGGUGAAAUGCGUAGAGAUCUGGAGGAAUACCGGUGGCGAAGGCGGCCCCCUGGACAAAGACUGACGCUCAGGUGCGAAAGCGUGGGGAGCAAACAGGAUUAGAUAUCCUGGUAGUCCACGCCG
rnacentral:rRNA from 1 species